UGCAAAUGUAGUCCCUAUUUUUCGCUAUUUUUUUAAGAGAGGUACCGUGAACGUAAAUGCCUUAUGCAAUGAUCCCGGCCAGGGUGCGAAUCCGAAUCGCUCGCGCUCGAUCCAGGAUCCAGCAGGCUAAACAGAAGGCUGUCGUGUUUUCCAACUCUGUAUCUUGUGCGUAGUGCUAAAAAAAUGAUUUUGGUGUCGCCAACCUCCUCUAGUCUCGCGCCAGUCCAACGAACUGAAUGGUUGUGUACUACCAGGGUGUACUGGUUCUCAAACCUUUUUAUCUACCUCGGGCUUUUUCUUUAUUGUUGUCACAACUCCAAAUCCUCGUUAAGUGAAGAGAAUAACAUUUCAAACCUAUAACUGAAGCGGUGUAAUCAAACGAUGUUCACAUCCAGAAACAAACAAACACCCCUCUUACUCCUUUUAGUCCAAAGGCCGGGAGGACUAGGUCUAGCGGAAGGCUUUAGGCGGAGGUUCCCUGGGCACUAGUACGAAUAUUUGCUGUCAAUGAUCAAAAUGGCGCCUGUAACAACAACUCAGGAUGCCACUGCAGAGAAUGCCGAGGGACAGCAAAGCAAUACAAUCAUCUUUAACUCAUCCAAAGGAGAACUGUUCACCCCAAACAAUGGUUUUAAGUCCUUGGUCAGAAAACUGAGAUCCAACUGGAAAGUCAUCACG